UGACAAGGGAAAAUUUGCAUCUGAGUUCCUGCUGGUUUGUUCAACUAAGCAGUGUAGAUGUUGCUAUUACUGCUUUAAAAAAUCUUGGGAACUGUCCAGGCAUGUUCUUCCAGAUAGAAUUCAGGUAUGAACAACCACUCAUGGAAUUUUAUUAUAAGAAGUGUAGGUACAAGAAGGCAUGAAAAUGACUUCCUCAACAUUAAUUUACUUGUAACAAGUUGUGGGUGGGUGUUUCUAUUUAUGGAAGUUCCGCACUCGGUGGGUUAACAUAGUCUAUGAAACUGAAUUUGCCUGAUUAUCUGUACAGAUUGGAGGUAACAAGGUUGAAGGACUUCAUGAUAAAUAAGUGAGCACUAUAUGGACCAUGACAAACAAGCUUAAGGUAAAACAAUCAUCUCCGACGACUAUGGUAAUUUACCUCAAACACUUGCUUGCAAAAAUAUGUAUAUACUAAUCUUUUUUUUUUUUUUUUUUUUUUGUAUAUCUCAACUUUUUAUUGACAUAAAUAAAUCUUGUCCAGCUUGAGGUUUUAAUUUUUAGUCAAAGCAUUUGGAUUUAAAUAAAAAGGACAUACUCAAUAUCAUGUUUUUCAUAUUGAGUUUACUUUAUAACAUUUGCAAAAUUCUUCCUUCAAUCCGAAAUGGUUUUUUUUUUUUGUUUGAAGGUUUUGUUGGGUCAGGGGUUUGGAGAAUUGUGUCAAAGUAAUUUUGUAAUGACAAAGACCCCCACUCAUGUGGCCAAGUAUACUGAGAAUUUUCUUUAUCAUGCACCAAUCCGGUGGUUGAUAAGAUGAGAUCUGAAAUCCAUGAUAUUAUCAUAGAUUUGAGUCCCCAAGUAAUCAAACAAUAUGGAGUCCUUAAUUAAACAGUUUAAUGAGUGAGUUAGCUUAAGAAGUUCGAGGUUUACACUGGAGGCAACUUUCAUCAGUCAUCACACAAGAACUAUCUGGAAUAUAAUAUGGUCUGCUCGCAAAUAACAAAAACCUCAAUAUAAUGAUAUGAUUGACUUGAGAUUGUCUUAGUGGGUGGCUUGGGUAUGGAUGUACCACAUGAGUAUCCCACUGCAACACCCAAUGUAAGUCCAUCACCUUCUUUUUUACUGUGAUCUUACUAAGUCAGUUUAGGCAAAAUUAAGAUAAGAUUUGAUUGAUUGCAAUCAGUUGUUAUAUAUUAAAAGUUUUAAACAAUUAUAGAACAAUUGAUAAUUACAUGGACAACACACGAGGGAGAUAACUUGGGUUAUAGAAUCUGGAAGCACCUACCUUAUGCGACCCCUUGGAUCGCCUGAAGAUCUCAGAACAACCAAAUUUUCAGAGAUGUUGAGGCUGAUAAAAAUGCCAUUAUUAUUAACAUAAUAAAAUGACAUAGUGGAGAGAUUUUGAGACUUUUCCAAAUUUUCAAUAUAGAAUUUCUUGUGAGACCAUUACCAAAUUUUCUUUAUUAAAAUCAUCAAUAUGAAGUUUGUUUCUUUCGACAUGAUCCAUAUGAUGUGGAUUACCAGAUUGCACUUUUUAAUAAUAUAUUGAACAAUUUAGUUACAAAUUAGUCAGUGAAUGUUAGUCUAGAUUGGUGUAUACUCAUAUUUGAAAUAAAAAUAAUAGUUUUACAGAAAGUUAUAUGUGCAUAUGUAAUCUGUUUAUGUGCAGAUUAUGCUUAUAGAGAUGGGAUCUCCUGUCCUGGAAAUUAGAAUGUCUGUAGAUGGA
rnacentral:lncRNA from 1 species